rnacentral:lncRNA from 1 species
AAUACAUCAGGAUCUGACCAAAUGGUUGGAUCUCGUUGAAUCAUCCACAAGUUGAAUAGUACUCGAGUACCUUUUGAGAUAGUAUAGUCACCAACAGUGCAAUCUUCCAUGGAUUCAUGAGGGACUGAGAGUGGUCCAGGUGGAUAUAAACGUAACGAUUCUUUAGUAAUCGCUUGAAGAUAAACCAAGUUAUUUAUAUGUGACUCAUCAACAAAUUUAUUUCUUCCAACUUGAAUGUCUAUUUCUUCUUGGGCCUUUUUCAUUACAUGAGGGUUGUUGAGUAACAAAGAGAGAAUCCAUAUUAGUGCUACAACUAUGGUGUCAGAUCCUCCUGCCCACAUAGCCUUCCAAAAUAGGAAAAAAAUAAUAGUAAAUUUGCUAGAAGUAUUGAAAAGAUACUCCUUCAUUUCGUCUUUUUAUUACCUCAUAAAUAAAAAUAAAAAGUAGAAAGUAGUUCAAUUAAAAUAGACUUACCAAGCAUGUAGAUUUGAUAAUGGUAUCAGCAUCAAAACCAGCAAGAUCUUCAUCCAUUGCAUCUUCAAAAAGGGCCAACAUUAUAUCCAUAAAAUCUUUAUCAUCCUCACAUUUUUUUUCUCCACAACUUCUCUUUUUCUUGUGUUCUACUAGCCAUUUUUCAAGAAUAUAAUCUAUUUCCUUAGCAUUUUCCUUCAUUUCCUUUUCAUAUCCUCCUAUAUCUAACCAUCUUAGUGAAGGCAUAUAAUCAGCUACAACAAAUACACGAAAUAAAUUCAUAAAAGUUCGAAUUGCUUUUCUAGCCCUCUCUACUUCAAAAUCAUGUUCUUUACCGAAAAGGAUUCUUACAAUAACGUUCAUGGUCAAGUUCUCGAACCAUUGAUUCAUUUCUAUUUUCACAGUAUUUGGAGAACCAUUCAUCAUUUCAUAAAUUUGUUUGAGGGAUGUUUUGACUUCGAAUUCUCUAAUGUGUCGAUGCAUUUGUACUCGAUGAUUGGAGAGUAAUACGAGUACAACUAUUUUUUUCAUUUCUCGCCAGUAUGGGCCGUAAGGGCCCAUACCAAAAAGGGCGUAGUUGUAGCCCAAGACCUCUAAUGCCAACGAUUUAGGCCGGCUUGCCAUGGCCUUGUCGUUGGUAGUAAAGCAAUCUUGGGCUAUCUUCCUAUUGUUCACCACCACAACUUGAUGGGAUCCAAAUUUUACUGUGAAAAUUGGCCCAUAUUUGUCUGCCAUGAGCCCAAGAAUUUUGUGAGGCAUCUUAGAUCCAUUGAAAAGGUGGAGAUGGCCAAUUAUUGGCCAUGAUCCAGCAACUUUAGGGGGUGUUGUACCUUUUUUGGUACUAAAAAUCCCAAAAAGCAUGUAAAUGAAGUAGAGAAAAAUAAUAAAUGUAGUAGCAUAAGUAAUGGCAAGAGAGAAAUCCAUUGCUUUAAUUUGAAAGAAUGGUUUGCUGUUUUUUCCUCAAUUUGGUGUGUUGCUUCUGUAAUAUUGUACCACUGCGAGUAAGUAUUUAAUGUUGAAAGAGUACAAUAUGAAGAAGUAACAAAUUAAAAAAAAAUCUAUUUUUGAAAUAGUGAAAAAGUAUUUAUUCCUACUUAUUAGUGUUACCUAACGCUACUUAAUCAUAAAAUCAUAAUUAACAUACUUUUUAAUACUUGAUAGGUACUUGAGACGUCUUCCUUAUUCCUACUUUAUGCUACUCUAUAUAAUUAAUAAUCCUACUCCCCUCUUACCUAACGCUACUUAAUGAUAGGUACUUAAUUAUACUUAACGCCACUUAAUAACAGGUACUUAAUCAAUCUUCUAAUUUAUCUUGUUCUCCUCUUACCUAACACUACCGAAUAAUAUUCCCUCUAUUUCAUAUUAACUGAAUUUUGAGACAAUGCACACUUAUUAAGAAAAACAUUCAAUUAUAUUAUUAAAUCACAAUUUCUAUUAUUGUCUUUUGUGAAAUCAUAAACGUAACUUUGUAAAUAGUGCAAUUUAUCUCUUAGAAAAUAUCAAAUUUUUUUAAAGGAAAGGGCAAAUAUAGAAAAUAUUUCAGAUAUUCAUUUUAAACUUUGAACAAUUCAAUUAUUAUGAACAAUAAAAAAAGACUAAAAAAUUGAGUUAAUAUAAAAUAAAGGGAGUACUUAAAAGCAGUCUUCCUCUUCCUUUUUUUCAUUCCUACUUUAUGCUACUUAACUCUAAUUGAUCAUUCUUUCCUCUCACACAACCACAUAAGCGGUGCUAAGUAGCGUUAAAUAAUAAGAGAGUAGGAUUGAUAUUUUAUUUUAGUAGCAUAAACUAGGAUCCAAAAAGGCAAUAAUGAGACCUUCACACAAAUGCUUUUUUUUGGGAGUUCGUUAAUUUUUGCUCCUUAAAAUUGAUGGUUUUUAAUUUUUAUCUUUAAAAAUUUUAAAUAAAAAAUGAUAGGAAUUGUCCCUAACAACGAAAAAAAUAAAAAUAAAACCGCAAGGCAUAAGUUAUAUAUGCACCAAUGCAAAAUAAAAAUAAGUCAAGACAUAAAUUGUGCCCCAAGGCAUAAGUUCUGCUUGCUUCAUACGUGGGAUUUUUUUGGCAAAGAAAAGUCAUGAGAAAGGGUGGUAGCAAUUCUAGCAAGGAGCCCAUCCCUCUCGUUCUUACAGAAGACGACGGACGGAAAGAGGGGAAACAUCCUUGGAAGCAAAAUAGAUUAAGUUCAAUGCAUAAGUUUAAUAACCCGAAUUAUUUCCUAAGAUAAGUUCAAUGACUCAAGUUUACCAUAGGACAACAUAAGUUUCGGGCACAAGUUAUGUCACAGGACAUAAAUUUAGUGAUAGAAGUUAUGUCUUAAAAAAAAAGUUCUCCAAAAGUCUUGACUUAAGUUCAGUGGCAUAAGUUAUUAAUAGUACAAAUCUGGGGACAAUCUUGGAGCAAUGAGAACCUCGAGUGGUGUAGUUUUCGUACCAAAACUUGCAGUCAUGUCAAUUGGUUCAUCAGAUGGCCUUGUAAUUUCAAAUGCAUGUAGCACGUUAGCCAAAGUCAAGUGCAACAACACAAGUGUUGACGAAAUCCCCGGGCAAAUUCUUCUUCCAGCGCCAAAUGGAAUCAACUCAAAAUGAUUUCCCUUAACAUCUAUAUCUUUAUGAGUCGUCAAGAACCUCUCUGGCUUGAAUAAAUCGGGUUCUGGCCAAACGGUCGGAUCCCGUUGAAUCUUCCACAAGUUGAAUAGUACUCGAGUACCUUUAGGGAUAUUAUAGCCACCAACAAUGCAAUCUUCUAUGGAUUCAUGGGGCGCUGAGAGUGGUCCAGGUGGAUAUAAACGUAACGAUUCUUUAGCAAUAGCUUGAAGAUAGACCAAGCUAUUUAUAUGUGACUCAUCAACAAGUUUAUAUUUUCCAACUUGAAUGUCUAGUUCUUCUUGGGCCUUUUGCAUUACAUGAGGGUUGUUGAGUAACAAAGAGAGAGUCCAUGUUAAUGCUACAAUUAUGGUGUCGGAUCCCCCUGCUAACAUAGACUUCCAAAAUAGGAAAAAGGAGAAAAAGAAAUUACUAAAUUAUAUAAUGACUUUUAUAAAUGAAAAGACUAAAAUUCAGAUAUAGUAUAUAUGGUGUAUAAUAUAUGUCAGAUUAAAAGGAAAAGAUAUACUAUAUCUCUAUUCCAAUUUGUAUAACUUGCUUUCAUUUUUAGUCCGUCUCGAAAAAAUGACAUGUUUUGUGUUGAUUUCAUAUCAUGAAAUGAAAUUUCAAAGUCUCCAAAAAUCAUGAUUUGAGAUUUUUCAAAUAUAAAAAUUGACCCACAAGUUUAUAUUUUGUAAAAACAACCCC